AUUGAACGCUGGCGGCAGGCCUAACACAUGCAAGUCGAGCGCGAAAGUUCUUCGGAAUGAGUAAAGCGGCGGACGGGUGAGUAAUACAUGGGAAUCUGCCUGGUAGUGGGGGACAACGUUUCGAAAGGAACGCUAAUACCGCAUACGCCCUACGGGGGAAAGGGGGGGGAUCUUCGGACCUCUCGCUAUCAGAUGAGCCC
rnacentral:rRNA from 1 species